UCUUACCUCUUCUGUGGGUGGCUGCCAUACUUCUGUUUUAGAGGAAGAGAGCCCAGAGUUACUGUGACCACAGUUCUGGAAGCGCGGGGGAUCCGCAUGCCCUCAGUGCACCAAAGGAAGGGGAGAGGCGGAGGAAAGGGGCUGAGCUCACCUGGCCGCCGGCAGCCUGCUCGCCUCUGAACAUACAGGCACCGCGUGUUGAAGCUGGAAUAGAAUCCAUUCUGCUUUGAUAGCAGUCAGCUCUCUGUUUAAAAAAUACAAAUUUUACUUAAAGAGGAUGUUUAUCUGAGCACUAGUGUAGAGUAGCCGGCAUACACAAAAGAAAUGAGUGAUGGUGCUGGAAAGCAAAGGGGUGAGCGUUUUCUGCACACCUGCUACAGAGCAGGCAUUGCUGGGUCUUGUACGUGACAGCUCGACCCUGGCCGAAGCCCUGCAGAGAGGUUAAGCACCUUAGCCAGAGUGUCCCCCUAGUGGUGCUUCCUUUACACCUCAUGUGAGGGCCAUCGGCUGCUGUUGUGGAAACUGUGACCCGCCAGGUCGUUCAGAAGCAUCUACAAACUUCUGGUUGGUUUGGCUGGAAGCUGCACUGAGGGAGGUGACAUAUCUGGCUGUUUCAGCUCCUGGCUGUCCCAGUCUUGUGUGACUUUGCCAUCAUUUGAAAUUGUUGCCUAUUUAACUCUGAAGGUUCAGUUGACAACCUAGCUAAUUAGUGUUUGAAAAUGCUGGUGUUUUCCUAUUUGGGGAUUUCAGGGCAUCAUCAUGCCCCAAGUUAUGAUGGGGAUCGCGGCGAAUGUCAUCGACGCGGGCAUGAACGCCCUCCUGCUGUACGCACUGACCUCGAGUGGUGUGAGUGGUGACCCAUUCAUUUGAGGAUGUGCCUGGGCCAACCCCACUUCGCAGUUUUUUCUGUCUGCUCUUUUCCUUUACGUAUGGUGGAAAAGAAUCCAUGGUGACACCUGGCCAGUUACCCUAUUUUGUGUGUGGCAAGAAUACUUAGGAUCUACGUUGUCAGCAAAUUUCAGGUAU